CUCCUAAAGAGUAACGGAGGAGUACGAAGGUGCGCUCAGACCGGUCGGAAAUCGGUCGCAGAGUAUAAAGGCAAAAGCGCGCUUGACUGCGAGACAGACACGUCGAGCAGGUACGAAAGUAGGUCUUAGUGAUCCGGUGGUUCUGUAUGGAAGGGCCAUCGCUCAACGGAUAAAAGGUACUCCGGGGAUAACAGGCUGAUACCGCCCAAGAGUUCAUAUCGACGGCGGUGUUUGGCACCUCGAUGUCGGCUCAUCACAUCCUGGGGCUGAAGCCGGUCCCAAGGGUAUGGCUGUUCGCCAUUUAAAGUGGUACGCGAGCUGGGUUUAGAACGUCGUGAGACAGUUCGGUCCCUAUCUGCCGUGGACGUUUGAGAUUUGAGAGGGGCUGCUCCUAGUACGAGAGGACCGGAGUGGACGAACCUCUGGUGUUCCGGUUGUCACGCCAGUGGCAUUGCCGGGUAGCUAUGUUCGGAAAAGAUAACCGCUGAAAGCAUCUAAGCGGGAAACUUGCCUCAAGAUGAGAUCUCACUGGGAACUUGAUUCCCCUGAAGGGCCGUCGAAGACUACGACGUUGAUAGGCUGGGUGUGUAAGCGUUGUGAGGCGUUGAGCUAACCAGUACUAAUUGCCCGUGAGGCUUGACCAUAUAACACCCAAACA
rnacentral:rRNA from 1 species